AUUUGUUCCACUGACAGAAACCUUGGCCUGCUCUGAGGACAAAGACAAACUGGAAGACCCAUUGUCUAUCAAUGAGAUAAAUGAGCCCCAGGUUUCAUUUUGAGACCCUUUUGGCAUCAUCUGAGACACUGAUAUUUUUACAGUGGGAGAAUGAUUUGAUUACCAGGUUGCUCAUACAGAGAGCGUAUUUAAGCAGUAUACAUGGGGACUUUUGCAAGGAGUCUACUAAAAAAUACAAUAUGCAUCUAUUUUUCUUGUACAUGUACCGUCUGUAGCCAGAUAUAUUUCAUCAAUUGGAUUUAGCUUGGCCGUCACUAUUAAAAUAUUGCCACCGCAAGGAAUUGUGGAAUGGAAUUAUCUCCUUUCCUUUCGUAAAGGACGGUCCAGUUGUUCCUAUGCUAAAGUAGCUAAGUAGGAAAGCCUUGAAGCUCUGUUGUUUAGCAUUGGGGAAUUGGACAGCUCUUAUCAUGGCGGCCACUCACACUACUUCCGGGUCAUUUCACUGAGUUAGGAUCCUCGCUAAGCAAAUUUGACAAUUGUAAUCCAGCCUAUAUUUUACCAAUAGCAUUCUUGUUAUUCCAUUGGCAAGGAAAUGAUUGUUCCAAAACACUUUUUCAAGUGAAUGGGCAUCUUGUUACUUUAUCUAUCUACUUAUAACAAGGUUUAUGCUGGUCUUAUCCACGUUUGAGACAUUCUGACACAAUAAUGAUCUGUAUUUUGUGCAACUGAGGGAGACCUUCAAAAAAUGAACUGUACAUGUGUUCAAUGUGGAGAUUUUAUGUAUGUGCAGAUGAAAGAAAAUGCAUAUGCAGCACUUCCUGCUGGACCAUGAUAUGCUCUAAUGGCUCUAAUGGAAUGUACUGUUUUCAUUGGGACCAUUAGGGCCCAAAGGACCACUAGGCAAGGAAAUAAAUUCAUUUAAAGAAAGGCAGCGGGGGACUCUUUCAUUUUCCCGGGCCUGGGUCACCCAGAUCAGAAACAUCUGUCGUCAUGUUUUCUUCGUGUUCAUUCGGUGAGGCCUGUGGCUGCAACCUCUGGAAUCACUAACCAUGACAGGAAGCUCGUGCACAGCGGUGGGCUUCGAGAUUCAGACGCACAGACGCACAGAAGCACAGUGCUUCUGUGCGUCUGAAUCCUUCAGCUCUAUAAAAAAGAAGCCAGAUAAUUGCACUAAAAAAGAUCUUAGAUUUAUUUUAUCUAUUUUUUGGGUUAAUUGCCUCAAGAUUAUUGAAAAUGACACUAGUAAACAAUGUUACAAAACAGAAUGCAAAUUUGACGUUGGAAACAUCUUAGUGAUAUUUGCAUUAAUACAUUUGCAAAGUUGUAUCUGUGUGUGUCUUUUGGUUGUCUCGGCAGAAUUCAGGUAUUGUUGUACAAUGUUUCUUUGGCAACCCGAUCGCUGCAAUCAAAUGGAUAAACAUAGCAGUAAACAAAUGAGUUAACAACUCUCUAGAAUGACUGUUUUCCUGGCAUGUUUAUACAUACCAAGAUGUGAGGUCAGACACAAACAUCUAUAAGCACUUUCACAGGUCCCGAACAACAGCAACAAAUGAAUAAAGAGAAGAACAAUGGUCAGAAUCAAAGAUAAAGUAAAGCAGGUGAAUGUAAAAUAUGGAAGAGGUCUGUUGUCUUCUCCCUGCUGUAAAAAAUAACGCGUGAGUCAAUUGAUCCCAAUCCGACUCACAAGUUCCAGUAAAGAAAGGAUGCGGGAAUAAAGAAAAAUGGUUACGUCACAAGAAAGUAUGAGCCUAAAGUAUGGGCCUAAAGUAUGAGCCUAAAGUAUGGCCUAAAGUAUGGGCUUAAAGUAUGAGCCUAAAGUAUGGGCCUAAAGUAUGAGCCUAAAGUAUGGGCCUAAAGUAUGGGCCUAAAGUAUGAGCUUAAAAUAUGAGCCUAAAGUAUGGGCCUAAAGUAUGAGCCUAAAGUAUGGGCCUAAAGUAUGAGCCUAAAGUAUGGGCCUAAAGUAUGGGCCUAAAGUAUGAGCCUAAAGUAUGGGCCUAAAGUAUGGGCCUAAAGUAUGAGCCUAGCACUCGUUGUGUCGUUGUGUCCUGCUGGAUUUUGCUAAAUGUGAACCGUAAAGAGUUGGUUGAGCAUGUUAAGCCGGUGCAUUAUUUAUGAUCUAGGUCUAAAAAAGAUGAACACAGAUCAGCGUACAUGCACCAGAAAUACAUCCGUGGGUACAUUGCCGCUAAAGGCUAAGGUGACUUCCCAUGUUCAACCAUAUUCAUUCAGACUUACAGGCUGAUUAUGCAGAUUCAUAACAUGACAUCCAACACAUUAUAGUGUGAGUGUUUGUCAUUAUGCAGAAAGCUUGAAAGCUUAAGUAGCAGAAGCAGUUUCUCAUGGUGAGGUCACAGUUCAAAUUUAAGAUUCUGGUCCUCUCUAGAAAUAAUUUGUUCUAGGAGUAAUUCUGGUUUAGCCUGUGAGCUGUCGACAUUUAUCCAUUCAGCUCAAAUAACAAACACAGGUGUCACACUUUGCAAGCAGACUUUGGGUGGAAGGCAAAUUGAUAGUUUAGCAAAGCAUACAGGGGGAAAAGUAUUGUUUAUGACUUUCUGUGUUGUUAACAACAGCAUGCAGAAUUAUGAUCCAUCCUGACUGAUAAAUACACACACACAUAUACAUGCAAACUGUGAUUAGUCCUAUGAAUGCUACUGCAGGUCUACGCUGCAGACUCAGAGCCAGAUUAAGGAAGGGUUGGGCGAGGAACAUUUGAAACGUGACAAAGGAGCAGCGCUCUUCUGACAGAGCAAGAAUGUUAAUUCCCCCCCCCCCCCUCCCCCCCACACG
ensembl:lncRNA